GAUAGGCCCACACGCAUAGCCUUCUCAUUCUCACUCUUCAUACAAUCGGAUGCAUGACCUUGCUAAUAGUUGUUUGAUUUGUGGUGUUACAGAUCCCUCCUCAACCGGCCAGGACAGCUCGACAUGAGAAGCACCUUGUGAUCUAAACUUUGUCUGUAUUACGGUACAGCAUCUCUGUCUAUUGUGGUCAGGGUGCCAAAGGGAGAGCUAGGAGGCUCCUCUUAUCUCUAGUCUGUCGAUGCCCUUCCUGGAGAAGGCAGGCAGAUUGUACAGAGCAAGGCUGAGCUGAGGGAGAGGCACCUGGAGGAGUGGAGAGGCAUUGAAAGAACAGUAGAUUGGGAAACCCAUAUUAGACAGACCUGACUCUUCCCAGAAAAGACUGACCUUUAUACCCCCGAGCAUGGGGGCGUCUUAUUCAAAGAAAAAGGCGUACAACAUUAACCAGCAGCAGCAGUGUGUGAAAAACAGACAGCACCGGAAUGGCACAGGUGAACUGGCAACCGCUCUCUCAACUUGACCAGCGAUGCAAUGCAACAGCAGCAAGUGCCAGUCAGCAUAGCCUGUUAAAACAGUUCAACGGGUUCAGGGAAGCUGGGAGACCCAUGGACCCGAAGAGGACUAAACGGAUAAUUGUUGAC